GGGCUACGGCUCAGAGAGCACAUCAUUCUCCAGCUUUCUGAAAAGCUGAGGCGCUGAGAGAACAACCUCAAAAGGGGCGCUGAGGCCUAUGGGAAAUGUAGUCUUGAAUCCUUCUGGCUCACCGCGCGGCACUCUGGGAAGGGGAGUCCGGGCUCCCUCUGCGCAUGUGCAGCCGUAGCCCCGCCUCCUCCCUCGUCUUCUCCAGAGUCCGCGGUUACUAGCUUCAGAGUGGAGACAGAAGAGCCCAGAAAGAGCAGGUCCUAGAUUUGCAAGGUCAGAAGCUGUUCUGAUCCCCUUGCCCAGAAUGAGCCAGACUUGGUGAUGAUGCCACCUUCAGGAGCCGCCACACCGUGUGACAGUGGAGGGUUUGUUCGUCCCUGAGAAGAGCAGAGGCUGCGCUGCUGUCAGACGUGUCCAUCACCACAUGUGACAUUAAUGACAUCAUCCUGACCUCGCAGGAUCCCAGAAUAAUGAUGCUUGAAGGAUUUUCCAAAGUCAUCUACUUGCAACUCUCUUGAAAACUUUGAAGACAUUGGGCCUGAAAGUUUCAGUGACUUGUCCAGGGAAACCCGAUUUGUGACAGAGUCAGAAGGAAAACUGCAGUUCCCUCUCUCAUAAAUAAGUCACCAAAAGUAUCUUAUCAAAGGGGCCUUCUGAGGAAUACAUCCCUGCUGAAACGAACAAUUAAAAAAGUUCCUGCCUUCAGGCAUCCCAUCUCUUUUCUGUGAAUUGUCUGUACCAGGAGCUGAGCCACAGUUCUCUACACUCGCCCAGGAGCCACAGAAAGUGAACGUCCCUCAGGUAUCAGUGUCAUUCAAGGAUGUGACUGCGGAAUUCCCCAGGAGGAGUGGCAGCAGGUGGAGUCUGCACAGAGGACCCUGUACAGAGACGUGGUGAUGCUGGAGAACUACAGUUGCCUUGUCUGAUCCUUCCUCUUGCCCAUGAACCCACCUGGAGGAGUCAAGCCCAGCAUGGAUGCCAGUGAGUUGGGUCAAAGCCAGGGGAAGGUCCUGGGAUCA
rnacentral:lncRNA from 1 species